UCAAAACAUCACCUCCAGCAUUCCCAGUAUUGGAGGCAUUGCCUGCCCAGUGACAACUGUUUAACGGCCGCGGUAUCCUGACCGUGCAAAGGUAGCAUAAUCAUUUGUUCUCUAAAUAAGGACUUGUAUGAAUGGCCGCACGAGGGUUUUACUGUCUCUUACUUCCAAUCAGUGAAAUUGACCUUCCCGUGAAGAGGCGGGAAUGCACAAAUAAGACGAGAAGACCCUAUGGAGCUUUAACUAACCAACCCAAAGAGAAUAGAUUUAACCAUUAAGGAAUAACAACAAUCUCCAUGAGUUGGUAGUUUCGGUUGGGGUGACCUCGGAGAAUAAAAAAUCCUCCGAGCGAUUUUAAAGACUAGACCCACAAGUCAAAUCACUCUAUCGCUCAUUGAUCCAAAAACUUGAUCAACGGAACAAGUUACCCUAGGGAUAACAGCGCAAUCCUAUUCAAGAGUCCAUAUCGACAAUAGGGUUUACGACCUCGAUGUUGGAUCAGGACAUCCUGAUGGUGCAACCGCUAUCAAAGGUUCGUUUGUUCAACGAUUAAAGUCCUACAUGAUCU
rnacentral:rRNA from 1 species